UAAAAUGUGUAAAAUAAUAGCCAGUUAAAAUUACUUUUAUUUAGGAGCAAGUAUGGCAAGUAUGUUUAACAAGAUCACAAAAAUCCUAUUAAAUAUCUCCUUUGAGAAAAUGUAUGCGGGUAUAGGAUUGUGGAAAAGACCAGACCGUCUUCUAAUGUUAUGUUCUGCCUCCUGUCACGUAGUUUAAUAAUAUUAAAGAUUUUUCUGAUCAAAAGGCAACCUUGACAUGCUUUAACAUAGUUAUUUCACAUAAGGGUAUGGACUGUGCAUAUCUGGGUAAGAGCUAGCAUUUACACAAGUAGUCUCUUCCCACAGGGGACCUGGGAGGAAAAUGAACAGCUUACCUUCCUCCUCAUGGGCCCAGUGGUCCUCGUACUUGUUGUCCUCUCUAUACAUCUAGAUCUGAACUAAUGUGACUGGCCUCACUCUUUCAGGCUAAGAUUGUAGCUUGUGCCCCUGGGAAGCAUGAUGUUUGAUCUUAGUUGUCAACAUGAUUGAUUUUAAAAUCACCUGGAAUCAGACUUCCAGAAGUGUCUAGAUGGCUGUCCAGAGAGGCUUACCUGAAUCCAGAGACCUGCCCUGAGUGUGAGUAGCAUUAUGUCAUGAGCAAGGGACCUGCAACAAACAAAAAAAGGAAGAAAAGAGAAACCAAGUCGAGGGCCAGCCUUUCUUGCUUUAUUUCCUGUUUCGUCCAAGUGUGGAGCAUGAGGAGUCACAGCUGAGUCACUUCUGCCACUUUGCCUUUCCCAAGUGAUGGACUAUACCCUCACACUGGGAACCAAAGCCAGCCCUCCAUUGAGUUGCUUUUCAGCUUUUUUUGGGGGGUUUGCAAUUCUGAGAAUCCAUCCCAGCCUAACAUUGAGCCAUACCCCCAGUCCUUCAGUAGCCUUUUGUCACAGCAGUGAAAAGGUAAGUAAUGUGGGCUGUGUGUCUCCCAUCUGCUGUAUUAGGAGAGGAGAGUGAUGCUGUUGAGUGAACAGGCCACCAGAUAGUCUCUUCAGCAGGGGACAGCAGCUCAUUUCAGCUCUCACAUCACAUCUGUUCUGAAAAUAGAUUUCCUGAAACUUAAGUGACUGUGGACUAAGUUUUGGCAAGACUGAUCCAGUGGAGGUCGAACAGAGCCUGUCACUUCAGAGUGUUGGGAAGCCAGGUACUGCUUCAGUUCUGCCACACUUCUCUGCACAUUGCUUCCUUUGAAAUUUGCAGCCAGAGUCUAAGUUUCUCACCUUUUAAUGUCUGAAAAUGCGGGCACCAUUUGGCAUUGUUCAUGUUAUCCAGGCGACCCAUCCAAAUAAGAAUAUAUUUGCCAAAUCGAAGAACAGCCCUUCUAAAAGCUUAGACUGGUGCACUAGCAAUGUUCUCCUAACUCAGUUAAACCACGGACUGUAACUAGUUGUGGGUUUUGUGCCAUUUCUACUGGUGACAGAAUCCUAUGGUGUGAUGUCUUCCCAGAAGAUUUUUUUCCACCUAACUUAAAAAAAGUUUCUAAUAUAAAGGUUGUAUUAUCAACAAACGCUAGUUUGAAAGAACCAAAUAGGAUUUUGAAGAUUACCCUUCUUUAACAAUGCCUUAAAUUUUUAUCUCCUUAUCCAUUCCGCGUUGCUUUCUUUCUCAAGACAUUAUGGUUUAUUGUGUCUCCAGCAGGUACCUUGCAUGUGAUUUACACAGUGAAUGGCCCCGCUUUCAGAGCAAGUUAAUGAUAUAAUAUCCCCAUUUAUAUUCAGAGCAGUCAACACUCUCUAGCUCUCAGAAUAAUAAAAGCACCUGCAUUUAAUAUACAUGGAAGAAUGGGAAGGCAAAUAGCAGAUAAGGCACAAUCAGAUGGCUCUUUAGAACUGAGAAGCAAUUCUCUUUCAUUUAAAAUAUCUGUAAGUGUUUGAAUUGAUACUGGCGCACACAGGCUGACUCUGAGGAUGCACUCAUGCCAUUGAAAUAAGCCAAGAGUACUGUGUGGCUCCCAGAGCCCUGCCUGGACCU